rnacentral:piRNA from 1 species
UAGUUUAGGAUGGCCUCGGAUUAU